CGCAUUAAUUUCUAUCCUUUCCUAAUAUCUAACUUGAUUCAGCACCACCCCUCCCGUGACAUGAAUUGGAGCACCACUUUCUUCAAGGAUCGGUUGUACCACUUCCAGAAUUUCCGGCAGCUGAAUUUAUAAUAAAACUUUAAUUUUCACACUUUUAAAUCCCUUGCUGUGUAAGAUAAGAUUUUGAAUGGAUGCAGAAAAGUCGUCCUGCAUGAUGCAAGCGUGCCGGAAGUGGACAUUUUUAACGCCUGGAAUACAUAAAUACAUGCUUAAUUCAAACUUUGUUAAAAUAAUGAUUGAUUGUCAUCAGUGUCACCCGUAACAAAAACUACUUGAGCAAUAAAUGUUUUUUUUUUUAGAAUAAUUUCUUGCAGGAGUGCAAGAAAUGCAUGA